rnacentral:lncRNA from 1 species
GGCCUCCAGGUCUGCCACAGGGAGCUGUCAAGCUGGCUUCUACUGGCUUCUGCUGCCUAGAGGGGCUUUGAGGCAAAAUGCCAGACACCUGCUAGUGUGGGCAGCUACCAGGGCAAAGGCGGAUCUGAAUUUGCAGGAGCUCUUCUCUUGUGACUGAAAGUUGAGCUGUUUUGUACAGAAGACAACUUUGCAACCUUCAGUGAAUGGAGAAAAAGUAUUUGAAGGUAACAUCUCCCAAUUUGAUAAUCUGCAGAAAAAUCUGCAUUCCUACGUGUAUCAUAUUGUAGGAAUAAAACAAUCAUUCUCAGACACUAAGCAAUCACGAGAGGACUGGAGAGUAUAUCUGCAGGAACAAAACUGCAUUCGCUGGUGAGGGGUGGCCUUGCUCAGGAAGAACCCACCCUCAUCUCCUUGACCAAAUGCCCAUUUUCAAAGUAAACAAGUGAGAUUAAAUUAGGUUGAAUGCAAUGCUCAAGUGUCUUUAUUAAGUGGACAAUUGUUUUUAUUUUCAUUGUUUUAGUAUUUAAAUAUUAAUGUCUGUGAUAUAUCACUUUUUAAAAUAUAAGUAAUGUACGGCUGGCUGGUUGGGGUAUCAUAUGUCAGUAAUCUCAGCAAUCAGAAGGCUGAGGCAGGAGGAUGGUAAGUUCAAGCCCAGCUUGGGCAAUUUAGAGACUUAGUGAGCACUUGUCUCACAAUAAAAGAUAAAAAUGGCUGGAGAUAUAACUCAGUGUGAAGGCCCAGUAAUGCAAAAAAAAAAAAAGUAUAGCUAAAAUUUAUCAUGUGCCAUGACUGUUCUAUACACAGCGUUGUUAAGUAUUAUUACUUUGCAUAUUCACAGAUGAGGAAACUGAGACCCAAAGAAUUUACAUAAAAUGUCCACAAUGAUAAAGUUAGUAAAAAUGAGAAACCAAAUAGCCAAAUAUAGAUCUUGACUCUUUGAACAUUGUAUUAUACUGUUUCUCAUGCUCUUUAUAGAAAAAGUGGAAAAAUAAUUGAAAAAAUAAAUGUCACCUUGAAUCGCAUUGCUAAAAGAUAACCAUUGUCUAUAUGGUUAAAGCUUUUUGCACUACAGGAUAUCAAACCACCACUAAAAGUUUAUGUUUUUCAUUUUCAUUAUCAUUCAUAAUUUAAAAUAUUUCAAAAUUUUCCAAAUAUUAUGAUGAUUUAUUUUUCAUGAUAUGAAAUUGAUUGGAUUAAGAAACGCCUAGGUGGUUAAUAACAUCUGCUUCUGGGUGUGUCUGAGUGGGUCAUGAAGUAUGACAUUGGGCACUAUAUCUGGUCCCUGGCCCCUCUUUCUCUGGCGCUGGUCCCCUGCUCUGCUUCCUAGCUGCCAUGAACCAAGCAGCUUUCCUCUGCCAGGCCCUUCUGCCCUGAUGUUCCUGCCUUGGAGCUGCUUACCAUGGACUGAAUCCCCUAGAACCUGGAGCCAAAUUAGACCUCUCCUCCUGUGGGCAUCCUGCAUUGUGUCGCAAGAACAGUGAAGCUGACUAAUAUAUAUAAUGCAUCUUCAUUUAUUUUAUGGGUAUUUCUUUUAGAUUUUUAAGUUGAUCAUUUUUUUACCACAAAAAAUACCACAUUGACAUCUUCGUGUUAAAGCUUUUGUGCAGUUAUUUAAAAUUAUCUUUCGGAUGUAGUACUAGAAGUGUAAUUCCUAUGCCAAUGACACGACUUAUUUUAAGUUUC